rfam:Camelus ferus unplaced genomic scaffold scaffold400, whole genome shotgun sequence.
GAGGGUACAGCUCAAGUGGUAGAGCACGUGCUUAGCAUGCACGAGGUCCUGGUUCAAUCCCCAGUACCUCCU